UUUUAUAUGCUUAGAGUUGCAGAUAAUGCUUUGCUGAUGCUUGUGUUUUGAUAUGGAUGUUUGGAUUGCAAACCUUUCUACGGGAUCUCCCUUGAUGCCAGCAUUAAAAUUUGACACAUCAACGUUGAAGCUUCUAGCCAGUGUUUGGUCUUAAGAGGAAAUACUUAUGUUAAUCUGCUGCUGAGGACAGUGUACAUUUUUAAAAGAAUUAAAUUUUAGUGAUCAAUAAUUAAUAUCAGUAGUUUUGCAGAAUUGAAUUCCUAAACGGCUCCGAAAUGCUUUAAAUACAAAGUACUUUAUCCAAACAACCUUUUACAUAAAACAAACGUAACAGGAUAAGUGGCGGUCAUUAUAUUACAAGUGUACAUUUUCAUUAUCGUAAUUUCAAAAGUUUAACAAUCCUAGCCUAUUGGUUACAAUCACAAACCAGGAGUAAAUACUAAACAGAAAUCUGCACAAAAGGUUGAAUAAGAGGAACUAUGUCAAUUACAAAGGGUAGCACAGCUUUUAUAUUGUUUAUACGUAUGACAAAUAUUAAACUUAAAUAUGAUAUAACGAUUAUAAUUCAUAAACAAAUAAUUCUUAUAAUGAUAUUAACAGUAAGACGCUGAUGUCAAUACAUGUACAUUGUAUGAACCGUAUUUUGGCGAUUUGGUCUGUCAUUUUAAACAUGCAUUAGUAUUAAAUUCAUGAAAUAAUGUGGCAUAGAGAUUAGAGAGAAUAACAAUAUUUCUUAGUAUGUUCAGUAAUAGCUAUAAGCCUAUGAGUUCUUCAGGACUGAGGGAUGAAUCUACUCAAUUUUCUAGCCGUUGUGAUGCACCUAUCAUCAGUGUCCCCAAAAAUUGAACGACAAUUUUCCACGAACUAUUUGACAGCAAUGCGUUCAAGGAGUGGAAUCAAGCGUGAUCAUGACGGCACCCCAUCCUCCCUUCCUUGUAUCCUCACUCACAUCCUGGCGUUUGUUCAAUUCACUAUGAAUAAUGUACAGCAAACUGAAUUUUUUUAAAGU